rnacentral:rRNA from 1 species
AUGAAUGUCCUAAGUUGGAAUUGUCGUGGUUUGGGUAACCCCGCGACAGUUUGUGAAGCCCGUGAACUCAGGGCAAAAUUUACCCCGGCGGUGCUAUGUCUUGUUGAAACCCAAAUAAGUAAAGCACGUGCUGAAAUUUUAGCUCAGUCGUUCGGUUUUGAUAGCUCUUUUGCGGUUGGGAGUACGGGGAGGAGUGGAGUCAUUGUAAUAUUCUGGAAUGAUUCAAUAAAUCUAGAAAUUGUCGGUUACUCGAGGUAUCAUACUGAUACAACUAUUGCUAACUUAGGUCCGACACCCUAG